rnacentral:lncRNA from 1 species
AUGAAUCAUACCCAUCAACGUGGUAGUGCCAUUUCAUGGCCCUCGUCUUUGCAACCCUGGGAAACAUGGCAACAAAUUGAACAAACACGGGAACAGCUGCAGCAGGCAGAGCUCACCUUUAGAUACCAGUUCACGAGAAGAAUGCUCAGGACAACUAGACUGGACGGGAUGGAAGCAAAGAGGCUGCCUGAGGGAUACACGAGGCAGAAACCAAUCACUGCAAGAACCCUCCAAGGCGAGGGCAGUCUGGAUCCUGGGGACUUCCUCCGUUAA